rnacentral:rRNA from 1 species
GACGAACGCUGGCGGCGUGCUUAACACAUGCAAGUCGAACGGAAAGGCCCUGCUUUUGUCGGGUGCUCGAGUGGCGAACGGGCGAGUAACACGUGAGUAACCUACUCCUGACUUUGGGAUAACUACAGGAAACUGGGGCAAAUAACGGAUAGGAGCUCCUGCUGCAUGGUGGGGGUUGGAAAGUUUCGGCGGGUGGGGAUGGACUCGCGGGUUAUCAGCGCGUUGGUGGGGGAGUGGCUGACCACGGCGGUGACGGAUAGCCGGCAUGGGAGGGUGAACGGGGACAAGGGGACUGCGGGAGGGCCCAGUGGGGAACGUGGGGCAGUAGGGGGGAAUAUGACACAGUGGUCGGACGUCUGUGGCGGCAACGUCGGGUGCGGGAUGACGGCUUUCGGGUUGUAAAGCGCUUUCGCCUGUGACCAAGGGUGAGUGACGGUAAUGGGUGAAGAAGCACCGGCUAACUACGUG